ensembl:antisense
UAAUAUAUCACUCUUGUGACACGAGUGCCAGCUAUGCCACCUCCCUGGUGUUUACCUGGCCUCCCUUGGCAGUCAUACAGGUUCGUCUAUUCCCCAGCUUCUCCUCCACUCCAGGAUUAUGUUUAUCUGUGACCAUGCCCCUACUAGCUCCUCGCCUCCUGCCCCUCCUGCUGGUGAUAGGCACCGGGGGCUCUGUGCCCCGCCCCCUGGCACUGCCGCAGGGCUGCUACAUAGCAGAAGAAGCCGGGGAACAGACAUUCCGCUGCAGCCGGGCUGGUCUGAGUGCCGUGCCCAACGGUAUCCCCAACGACACCCGAAAGCUUUACCUGGACGCCAACCAGUUGGCAUCAGUGCCAGCUGGUGCCUUCCAGCACCUGCCUGCCCUGGAA